GAUGAACGCUGGCGGCGUGCCUAAUACAUGCAAGUCGAGCGAACAGACGAGGAGCUUGCUCCUCUGACGUUAGCGGCGGACGGGUGAGUAACACGUGGAUAACCUACCUAUAAGACUGGGAUAACUUCGGGAAACCGGAGCUAAUACCGGAUAAUAUAUUGAACCGCAUGGUUCAAUAGUGAAAGACGGUUUUGCUGUCACUUAUAGAUGGAUCCGCGCCGCAUUAGCUAGUUGGUAAGGUAACGGCUUACCAAGGCGACGAUGCGUAGCCGACCUGAGAGGGGGAUCGGCCACACUGGAGCUGGGACGCGGUCCAGGCUCCUACGGGAGGCAGCAGUAGGGAAUCGGCCGCAAUGGGCGAAAGCCUGACGGAGCAGCGCCGCGUGAGUGAUGAAGGUCUUCGGAGCGUAAAGCUCUGUUAUUAGGGAAGAACAGAUGUGUAAGUAACUGUGCACGUCUUGACGGUACCGGGUCAGAAAGCCACGGCUAACUACGUG
rnacentral:rRNA from 1 species